GGCCGAAUGGUCUAGUGGUAUGAUCUCGCUUUGGGUGCGAGAGGUCCCGGGUUCAAUCCCCGGUUCGGCCC
rnacentral:tRNA from 1 species